AUUGAACGCUGGCGGCAUGCUUUACACAUGCAAGUCGAACGGUAACAGGCCUUCGGGUGCUGACGAGUGGCGAACGGGUGAGUAAUGCAUCGGAACGUACCCAGAGGUGGGGGAUAACGCAGCGAAAGCUGUGCUAAUACCGCAUGUGAUCUGAGGAUGAAAGCGGGGGACCGAGCAGCAAUGUUUGGCCUCGCGCCUUUGGAGCGGCCGAUGUCGGAUUAGCUAGUUGGUGGGGUAAAGGCCUACCAAGGCGACGAUCCGUAGCUGGCCUGAGAGGACGACCAGCCACACUGGGACUGAGACACGGCCCAGGCUCCUACGGGAGGCAGCAGUGGGGAAUUUUGGACAAUGGGCGCAAGCCUGAUCCAGCAAUGCCGCGUGCGGGAAGAAGGCCUUCGGGUUGUAAACCGCUUUUGGCAGGAACGAAACGGUGUCCGCUAAUACCGGGCGCUAAUGACGGUACCUGCAGAAUAAGCACCGGCUAACUACGUG
rnacentral:rRNA from 1 species